CAUAAGCAUCUUUUAGGGAGACAAGGCUGUUUGGGUCCUAUUCAGCCAUCAAGCUGCAAUAGGAGCAAAAUCAGAUUUAGCAGAUUUUUCCUUUUUCAAUUCUAAUUUCUCUGGGUUUGUGAUAAUUACUUGGCAGCUGUUUUCCAAGCACAUAUGCUUUGACUGAGUUAUUUUCAGGUCCAUUUGCCACGUGUAUGGAGGGGAAUCAUGGUACCAGGUGAGGCAGUGGGAAGAACCAGGUGUGCUCGUUGUAGUACUGGGGAUCUCUUCAUUAAAAGUUCACCAGAAAUCAUAAAUACUUUCUACAGAAGCUGUCUGUUGUGAGCUGUACCUGCCCCAGGAGUCACAGAGGGCAGCGGUGAGGAUGUUGAUUUGGGUUUAGUGUUUUCAGACCUUAACCAGCACCUAGGUGCUUUGCAGUCUCUGAGCUGACACCCCAAGGACAGAGCAUGGGGAGACAUGGUGCUGUGCCUGUCUGCUGAAACGUUGCACUCUUUGGGUUGGUACCUGAGCUGUGAUGGCUCUGCAGGACUGGAAUUGCUCGCCAGCACCAAUUAAUUAAAGCCAUCUUCCCAGAAGUGCUCUGCUAUCAGCAUCUGCAGCCAUGCUUACUGCCCUGAAGGCAAAAGUGAAGCAAAGCGAUGCCUUCAACGCUGACAGCUGUGGUGCUGCUCUGGACUUUGGGUCUGUGCAUCCAAUCCCUUGCAGGCGUGUUGUUUGACAUGGAGCUGUUGGUGUGUCUGCCCGCCUGGCUUGCUAUCUGUUGAUCUUUCUGGCUCUCUGCCUGCUAUGGUGGAGAAAUAUUGAGGCAUAAUGGAAGCUUUGCAGCUGACGGCUAA
rnacentral:lncRNA from 1 species